AAUGAACGUUGGCGGCGUGGAUUAGGCAUGCAAGUCGUGCGGAAGUGGCCCGCAAGGGUUACUUUAGCGGCGAAAGGGAGAGUAAUACGUAGGCACCUACCCCUGGAACCGGGAUAGCUGCGGGAAACUGCAGGUAAUACCGGAUAACGUCUCCGGACCAAAGGUGUGAUUCCGUCCGGGGAGGGGCCUGCGUCCUAUUAGCUGGUUGGUGAGGUGAUGGCUCACCAAGGCUUAGAUGGGUACGGGGUAUGAGAGUAUGCCCCCGCUCACUGGGACUGAGACACUGCCCAGACACCUACGGGUGGCUGCAGUCGAGGAUCUUCGGCAAUGGGGGAAACCCUGACCGAGCGACGCCGCGUGUGGGAUGAAGGCCUUCGGGUUGUAAAGCACUGUCGGGGGGGAGAAAGGCCGCAAGGCUUGAUCGACCCCCGGAGGAAGCACGGGCUAAGUUCGUGCCAGCAGCCGCGGUAACAC
rnacentral:rRNA from 1 species